AGCGAACGCUGGCGGCGUGCCUAACACAUGCAAGUCGAACGUGAAAAGGGAAACCUGAGUAAAGUGGCGUACGGGUGAGUAACGCGUAGGUAAUCUACCCCAGAAUCUGGAAUAACCUGCCGAAAGGCGGGCUAAUACUGGAUAGAGCGAGGGAACUCGUAAGAGAGUUUUUCGGGAAAGGGAGCCCGCAAGGGCCUUCGUUCUGGGAUGAGCCUGCGUCUCAUUAGCUAGUUGGUAAGGUAACGGCUUACCAAGGCGAUGAUGAGUAGCUGGUCUGAGAGGAUGAUCAGCCACACUGGAAAUGAAACACGGUCCAGACUCCUACGGGAGGCAGCAGUGGGGAAUCUUGCGCAAUGGACGAAAGUCUGACGCAGCCACGCCGGGUGAGUGAAGAAGGCCUUCGGGUUGUAAAGCUCUGUCGGAUGGGACGAACAUCUUCAUAGUGAAUAGCUAUGAGGACUGACGGUACCAUCAAAGGAAGCACCGGCUAACUCCGUG
rnacentral:rRNA from 1 species